UAAAGCAAAACUAGUUGCAAAGAAGUUGACGCCUUGCGCUACAAAUGGUCAAUGCAAACCUGAUGAUGGUCACUACAAAUGUGCAUGUAAACCUGGUUUUCAAGGUGAUCCUUUCGCAGAAUGCACAGAAGUCAAGUUGGAAUGUGGAAAGGCAGCAGAUAUUAUGUUUGUUCUCGAUUCCUCCUCAAGUAUGAGGUCAAAUAAUUUUGCAAAAAUAAUCAACUUCGUGAAAAAGCUGGUUAGUUGAUCUAUGUCUGAACAUCACAAAGUCAGAAUUAGUGUGAUAACGUUUUCGCACCGGUCAAGAAUACAGUUUUAUCUCAAUCGGUACACGGAACCAGAAGAAAUAAUUACCGCUCUCAGCAAAAUUCGUCUAAUGCGUGGAGGAACACGAACCGAUUAUGCAUUGCAUGAUAUGCACAGUAAGGUCCUAGCGGAGGCUCAUGGAGAUCCUCCAAAUUAUCCAAAUAUUGGAAUAGUCAUUACAGAUGGGAAGUCAAAUUAUCCAAAGAAAACAAAAGAAGAAAUGGUUCAUAUGAAAGAAGAUGAUGUUAUGAUGUUUGCGAUCGGAAUUGGUUCAUCUAUUAACCAGGAAGAAUUGGAGACCAUCGCCAUCGAAAAAGACCAUGCGUUAAGAGUAAAAAGAUUGGACUUGCUGGAACACAUUAUUGGAGAAUUUCAAGAGAUUACUUGUAGAGGAAUUUCACAUGCUCCGCACACCCAUUCCGUAGUCCAUCCGCAUCCGCAUUAGUUUCAUA